rnacentral:rRNA from 1 species
UCGAUAUCUUGACGCAUAUUGCGGCCUCGGGUAAUCCCGAGGCCACGCCUGUCUCAGGGUCGGUUAAAAGUCGAUCGUCGUUAAGCUCUCCAGUAAUACGACGCGUUGGACGUCGCAG